rnacentral:rRNA from 1 species
GCUAGGAGGCGUCGAGCGGCGGACGGGUGAGUAAUGCAUAGGAAUCUGCCCGGUAGUGGGGGAUAACUUGAGGAAACUCAAGCUAAUACCGCAUACGCCCUACGGGGGAAAGCAGGGGCUCUUCGGACCUUGCGCUAUCGGAUGAGCUUAUGUCGGAUUAGCUGGUUGGUGAGGUAACGGCUCACCAAGGCGACGAUCCGUAGCUGGUCUGAGAGGAUGAUCAGCCACAUCGGGACUGAGACACGGCCCGAACUCCUACGGGAGGCAGCAGUGGGGAAUAUUGGACAAUGGGGGCAACCCUGAUCCAGCCAUGCCGCGUGUGUGAAGAAGGCCCUCGGGUUGUAAAGCACUUUCAGCGAGGAAGAAUGCUUGUCGGUUAAUACCCGGCAAGGGAGACAUCACUCGCAGAAGAAGCACCGGCUAACUCCGUGCCAGCAGCCGCGGUAAUACGGAGGGUGCGAGCGUUAAUCGGAAUUACUGGGCGUAAAGCGUGCGUAGGCGGCUUGAUAAGCCGGUUGUGAAAGCCCCGGGCUCAACCUGGGAACGGCAUCCGGAACUGUUAGGCUAGAGUGCAGGAGAGGAAGGUAGAAUUCCCGGUGUAGCGGUGAAAUGCGUAGAGAUCGGGAGGAAUACCAGUGGCGAAGGCGGCCUUCUGGACUGACACUGACGCUGAGGUACGAAAGCGUGGGUAGCAAACAGGAUUAGAUACCCUGGUAGUCCACGCCGUAACGAUGUCGACUAGCCGUUGGGGUCCUCGAGACCUUUGUGGCGCAGUUAACGCACUAAGUCGACCGCCUGGGGAGUACGGCCGCAAGGUUAAAACUCAAAUGAAUUGACGGGGGCCCGCACAAGCGGUGGAGCAUGUGGUUUAAUUCGAUGCAACGCGAAGAACCUUACCUACCCUUGACAUCGUGCGAACUUUCCAGAGAUGGAUUGGUGCCUUCGGGAGCGCACAGACAGGUGCUGCAUGGCUGUCGUCAGCUCGUGUUGUGAAAUGUUGGGUUAAGUCCCGUAACGAGCGCAACCCUUGUCCCUAUUUGCCAGCGAUUCGGUCGGGAACUCUAGGGAGACUGCCGGUGACAAACCGGAGGAAGGUGGGGACGACGUCAAGUCAUCAUGGCCCUUACGGGUAGGGCUACACACGUGCUACAAUGGCCGGUACAAUGGGUUGCAAAGCGGCGACGUGGAGCUAAUCUCAUAAAGCCGGUCUCAGUCCGGAUCGGAGUCUGCAACUCGACUCCGUGAAGUCGGAAUCGCUAGUAAUCGUGCAUCAGAAUGGCACGGUGAAUACGUUCCCGGGCCUUGUACACACCGCCCGUCACACCAUGGGAGUGGACUGCACCAGAAG